rnacentral:rRNA from 1 species
AUACGUAGGUGACAAGCGUUAUCCGGAUUUACUGGGUGUAAAGGGCGUGUGGGCGGUUUAGCAAGUCAGAAGUGAAAUUCCCGGGCUUAACUUGGGCGCUGCUUCUGAAACUGCUUUACUUGAGUGCUGGAGAGGAUAGUGGAAUUCCUAGUGUAGCGGUAAAAUGCGCAGAUAUUAGGAGGAACACCGGUGGCGAAGGCGGCUAUCUGGACAGUAACUGACGCUGAGGCGCGAAAGCACGGGGAGCAAACAGGAUUAGAUACCCUGGUAGUCCGUGCCGUAAACGAUGAAUACUAGGUGUAGGGGGUAUCGACUCCCUCUGUGCCGCAGUUAACACAUUAAGUAUUCCACCUGGGGAGUACGGCCGCAAGGUUGAAACUCAAAUGAAUUGGCGGGG